UACAGUGCAUUAUUAGUUUCAGGGUAGAAUUUAGUGUUUCAUGGGCUGCAUACAACACCCAGUGCUCAUUACGUCAAGUGUCUUCCUUAAUGACCAUCACACCAUUUAUUCUUUGCCUCU